rnacentral:lncRNA from 1 species
UCCUACCCAAAGAACACACAGCCCUCAUUUACAGCAGCUGGUGGCAGCUAGCUGAGUUCGAACAGAUGCAAGAAUCUCAUAAUCUGGGCCAGAUAUUAAUCUGUCUUUUCUGUAACAGCAAAACAGAAGGGUGAGUCUUGAAGCAGUGCAGGGGGAAACCCCUUAUUGUGCAACUCUUUUGUAACUCCUGGGCGGAGUUUGGACAUGUGACUUCUGCUUGAAAUUUAACAUUAGGGGAAAGACCAUUUUUGGUCAUAGCUGAGGUGAUGACAUCUUGGCAACUGGAAUGGACAUGACCUCUGUUCCAUGUACUCUCUAUUUUCAGACUUGGGCAAACUCUACUCCUCAAUUCGUGGAAAAAUCUCAGUAUUGAUCUAUGCAUGGUAGGUGCAUUUCAUACAUAUGUAUGUAUUUUUAACAAUGUAAGAAGCACCCUCUAUUUCACCUUCCAAACAAAAACUUAACUGACAGUAAUCUGUAUCUAAUCACAUGGUUUCUGCCACUUAAGGCCUAUCCCCUGGUCUCCAUAGUCAAGUAUUAUCAUCCCAAAUAAAUCUCUGAAUUUAUUGAAUCGUUUCCCUGUUCACGGAUUUUGUGGUG